CCGUUAGCAUAACGUAUUUUCCGGUGUUUUCACAAUGCUGCGCUUCCUAUUCCCCACUCCACGGCAAUCCACAUGCCGUGAUGCCUGGAGGCAUUAGGAAAGGAGACACACAGGGGCUCUUCACGUUGGCUUUCCAGGGUUUUGAUGAAAAUCUCAAUUUCCUCAUCUCUUACAUUGUGGCUGUACAGGAAGCACGGUGAUGGCAUCUGCAUGGCGCCUGUGGAGGCCCCAGGGAGCUUUUACUCAUGAUGGAAGGCAAAGAGGGAGUAGGCACAUCACAUGGCCAGAGCAGGAACAAGAGAGAAUGGGAGGAGGGCUCUUUGUCCUGGGCAGAGCUUGCUGCACCUUCCAGUUCCAGUAAUCAAGGAAGUGGAGUCCCUGCAAUUCUUCAAGGAACCUUGAGAACUCAGGAGGUCCUGGGGUGGCUGCAUCAAUCCUGCAGACCAAUGCCAAUCAGCAGAGGGGCCAUUCCCAGGGCCACAUGGCUGGCUGAGUUGGGCCUUGGCCAGGUAAGACACACAGCAUGCAUGCCUACCUGAUUUAAUUCUGAGUGCCAUAGACCUGGCAAGUCAUAAAAUAGCAACCAAUAAUUAUAAGUUAGAGGGCUCAUUUCCUCCCAGAAAUCUCAGUGCAUGUGAAGAUAGGCUUGGAAUGUGUAAAGAAAAGCUAAGGAAGCAGAUUUCUGAUAAGAGCAGCGUGUGACUUGUACAGCAGUUCUGAAUUACAGCCCGAAGGAUGGAAUGCUGACAGUUCCUUCUUUCUUACCUGUGAUUGCUAGAAUUUUAUUUAGCAGAUCGUUUUUGAGCAGAUCUCAAAAUGAGAAAAUUCUUUGAAGAAUUAUGUGUAGUGUGAAGUAUAUUGUCUCCCUUGUUGCCUGUGGAGAUUCCACUGGUGACAGGGCAGAUUUCCCACUGCAGGGUCGAUGGAGAUGCUGCUGCUGUCUUUGGACAUAAUAGUUUAUGACAAAGAGACCAAAAUAAUUCCUUUUUAGCCAUGUGGUUGUCUGUAAAUUUGCCUAGUUGGUCAUCCAAAGCGAUGACAUUUAAGAUAUAGUUGAUACAUGGUUUAUCUUAAAGAAACGUUUUAAAAUUAAUUCUUCAGACCUAUGUAAUAUUUUAUCUUUUCUGUUUAAUAAUAUCCAAAUGUGCUUUUGUGAUGCACAGGACACGUGCGUUUCUUCAUAGAUCAGUCAGAUAGCUUUGAAAGUAUAAUAUAUUACAAGCAUGUAGCAAAGACCCUCAAAACACAAUUAUUGAAGCAGUAUAAAAAGGUGAAUUUGCUUCAGUUUUGGAUUUUUAAUAGACUUCAUUGUUGUAGUGAAGACAGAAAUAUGCCAUGGAAGUCUCUGGUUAAGAGCCAAGACUUUUUCUCGUGUAUCCUUUCAGAUCCCGUCAUCUCUAUCUGAUCUUUAGGGUAGACUAUGUACGUUCAGAGUGUUGAGUAAAAUUAUUAGAAAAUAUAAUACCUGUAACAUUAUUCUUUAUGCCCUUUAAGUAAAUAUGCUGGCACAUUAAUUCACAAUUUAAAACGCUGACUUUGUAAGACAUUUGCAUGUAUCUCCAAUGAAGAUAUUGUUGGACUUGCAUUCUUUAUGCAUGAUUUGUGACAAAAUUAUGAGACCUUUACAUUUGUGGAAAUAAAACACAUAAAGUUA